rnacentral:rRNA from 1 species
UGCAAGUCGAACGAUGAAGCCUUUCGGGGUGGAUUAGUGGCGAACGGGUGAGUAACACGUGGGCAAUCUGCCCUGUACUUUGGGAUAAGCCUGGGAAACUGGGUCUAAUACCGGAUAUGACUCUUGGCCGCAUGGUUGAGAGUGGAAAGCUCCGGCGGUACGGGAUGAGCCCGCGGCCUAUCAGCUUGUUGGUGGGGUAAUGGCCUACCAAGGCGACGACGGGUAGCCGGCCUGAGAGGGUGACCGGCCACACUGGGACUGAGACACGGCCCAGACUCCUACGGGAGGCAGCAGUGGGGAAUAUUGCACAAUGGGCGCAAGCCUGAUGCAGCGACGCCGCGUGAGGGAUGACGGCCUUCGGGUUGUAAACCUCUUUCGCCAGGGACGAAGCGCAAGUGACGGUACCUGGAUAAGAAGCACCGGCUAACUACGUGCCAGCAGCCGCGGUAAUACGUAGGGUGCGAGCGUUGUCCGGAAUUAUUGGGCGUAAAGAGCUCGUAGGCGGUUUGUCGCGUCGUUCGUGAAAACUCCACGCUUAACGUGGAGCGUGCGGGCGAUACGGGCAGACUUGAGUUCGGUAGGGGAGACUGGAAUUCCUGGUGUAGCGGUGAAAUGCGCAGAUAUCAGGAGGAACACCGGUGGCGAAGGCGGGUCUCUGGGCCGAUACUGACGCUGAGGAGCGAAAGCGUGGGGAGCGAACAGGAUU